UACGUAGGGGCGAGCGUUGUCCGAAUUCACUGGGCGUAAAGCGCGCGUAGGCGGGUUUUUAAGUUGUGGGUGAAAUUCCGAGGCUCAACCUCGUAACUGCCUGCAAAACUGGGAGCCUUGAGGUAUGGAGAGGGAAGUGGAAUUCCUGGUGUAGCGGUGAAAUGCGUAGAUAUCAGGAGGAACACCCGUGGCGAAGGCGGCUUCCUGGCCAGUUACUGACGCUCAUGCGCGAGAGCUGGUUAGCGAACCGGAUUAGAUACCCUGGUAGUCCCUGA
rnacentral:rRNA from 1 species